AGUCCAUGGUGUGGAUAUUUUCGAAACGAAUCUCUAAAUCUUUCCCACGCUUCAUAUAAUGAUCCACCUUCUUGUUGGCUAAAACUAGUAAUGUCCAUUCUAAAUUU